AAUGAACGCUGGCGGCGUGCCUAACACAUGCAAGUCGAACGCGAAAGGGGGCUUCGGCUCCUAAGUAGAGUGGCGUCCGGGUGAGUAACACGUAGGUAAUCUGCCUUCGGGUGGGGAAUAACCAGUCGAAAGAUUGGCUAAUACCGCAUAAUGCAGCGGCACCUAAUGGUGAUUAGUUGUUAAAGCGGGGGAUCGUAAGACCUCGCGCCUGAAGAGGAGCCUGCGGCAGAUUAGCUAGUUGGUGAGGUAAUGGCUCACCAAGGCUUCGAUCUGUAGCUGGUCUGAGAGGACGGCCAGCCACACUGGCACUGACACACGGGCCAGACUCCUACGGGAGGCAGCAGUGGGGAAUUUUGGGCAAUGGGCGAAAGCCUGACCCAGCAACGCCGCGUGAGGGAGGAAAUCCUUCGGGAUGUAAACCUCACAAGCAAGGGAAGAGAGCUCAGGGACCGAAUAAGCUUUGAGUCCGACGGUACCUUGCGUAAGCCACGGCUAACUACGU
rnacentral:rRNA from 1 species